ACCGCAGUAGCCCAGUUGGUAGUGGCGUCGGCAGUGCAGAUGAAGAAGGUCGCAGGUUCAAAUCCUGCCUGCGGUG